UACGUAGGGGGCAAGCGUUGUCCGGAUUUAUUGGGCGUAAGGCGCGUGUAGGCGGCCAUACAGGUCCGUUGUGAAAACUCGAGGCUUAACCUCGAGACGUCGAUGGAAACCGUAUGGCUAGAGUCCGGGAGAGGUGAGUGGAAUUCCUAGUGUAGAGGUGAAAUUCGUAGAUAUUAGGAAGAACACCAGUGGCGAAGGCGGCUCACUGGCCCGGUACUGACGCUGAGGCGCGAAAGCGUGGGGAGCAAACAGG
rnacentral:rRNA from 1 species